rnacentral:lncRNA from 1 species
AAAUACUAGAUGCUGCUAGAAACACUAAUGCUAAGACUAUGUGCAACGGCCCUACCCGCUAGCAACAAUAACUCGUUGGGCCCAAACCACCGGCCCAAAAUGCUUAAGCCAAGUUAUUACUAUUAGCGUGUAGGUCUCAUAUAAACUGAUUGUGGGACUAUUGGGGCGUUACAAACUCCCCCUGUUUAAACCCUGACGUCCUCGUCGGGUCCAAACUAGAUCAUAGACAGACAGACCAGGACCAUUACCAAAUCCGUUGGUGUAGCACUUUGUCCCGCAUAGCACUUAGUUCUCACACUUCCGGCUGGUAUUCGGCUCUGAUACCAAUUUUAACGACCCUACCCGCUAGCAACAAUAACUCGUUGGGCCCAAACCACCGGCCCAAAAUGCUUAAACCAAGUUAUUACUAUUAGCGUGUAGGUCUCAUAUAAACUGAUUGAAAUUAGUAUCCCAUAUGAUGUGGGACUAUUGGGGCGUUACACU